UACGUAGGGGGCAAGCGUUGUCCGGAUUUAUUGGGCGUAAAGAGCGUGUAGGCGGCUUUGCAAGUCCGUUGUGAAAACUCGAGGCUCAACCUCGAGACGCCGGUGGAAACUGCAAAGCUAGAGUCCGGAAGAGGAGAGUGGAAUUCCCCAAGUAGAGGUGAAAUUCGUAGAUAUGGGGAGGAACACCGGUGGCGAAGGCGGCCAUCUGGACGGUAACUGACGCUGAGACGCGAAAGCGUGGGGAGCAAACAGG
rnacentral:rRNA from 1 species